CGGGCCGUGGUCCCGGUGAGGAUCCGCGCCCCGCAGGCGCGGGCGACCGCCUUCGGGAGGCGGCCGGUGCCGCCGGCCACGCCCCGG
rnacentral:tRNA from 2 species